GUGCUCGAUUCGGCAGCACAUAUACUAAAACUGGAAUGAUACAGAGAAGAUUAGCAUGGCCCCUGUGCGAGGAUGACACACAGAUUUGUGAAGCAUUCCAUAUUUUU
rnacentral:snRNA from 1 species